rnacentral:rRNA from 1 species
AUUGAACGCUGGCGGCAGGCCUAACACAUGCAAGUCGAGCGGAUGAUGGGAGCUUGCUCCUGGAUUCAGCGGCGGACGGGUGAGUAAUGCCUAGGAAUCUGCCUGGUAGUGGGGGACAACGUUUCGAAAGGAACGCUAAUACCGCAUACGUCCUACGGGAGAAAGCAGGGGACCUUCGGGCCUUGCGCUAUCAGAUGAGCGUAGGUCGGAUUAGCUUGUUGGUGAGGUAAUGGCUCACCAAGGCGACGAUCCGAAACUGGUCUGAGAGGAUGAUCAGUCACACGGGAACUGAGACACGGUCCAGACUCCUACGGGAGGCAGCAGUGGGGAAUAUUGGACAAUGGGCGAAAGCCUGAUCCAGCCAUGCCGCGUGUGUGAAGAAGGUCUUCGGAUUGUAAAGCACUUUAAGUUGGGAGGAAGGGUUGUAGAUUAAUACUCUGCAAUUUUGACGUUACCGACAGAAUAAGCACCGGCUAACUCUGUGCCAGCCGCCGCCGUAAAAC